UACGUUCCCGGGCCUUGUACACACCGCCCGUCACACCACGAAAGUCGGCAACACCCGAAGCCGGUGGCCCAACCCGCAGGGGAGGGAGCCGUCGAAGGUGGGGUCGGUGAUUGGGGUG
rnacentral:rRNA from 1 species